GAUGAACGCUGGCGGCGUGCCUAAUACAUGCAAGUCGAGCGAACGGACGAGAAGCUUGCUUCUCUGAUGUUAGCGGCGGACGGGUGAGUAACACGUGGAUAACCUACCUAUAAGACUGGGAUAACUUCGGGAAACCGGAGCUAAUACCGGAUAAUAUUUUGAACCGCAUGGUUCAAAAGUGAAAGACGGUCUUGCUGUCACUUAUAGAUGGAUCCGCGCUGCAUUAGCUAGUUGGUAAGGUAACGGCUUACCAAGGCAACGAUGCAUGGCCGACCUGAGAGGGUGAUCGGCCACACUGGAACUGAGACACGGUCCAGACUCCUACGGGAGGCAGCAGUAGGGAAUCUUCCGCAAUGGGCGAAAGCCUGACGGAGCAACGCCGCGUGAGUGAUGAAGGUCUUCGGAUCGUAAAACUCUGUUAUUAGGGAAGAACAAAUGUGUAAGUAACUGUGCACAUCUUGACGGUACCUAAUCAGAAAGCCACGGCUAACUACGUG
rnacentral:rRNA from 1 species